GAAAGGUGUAACGGUAACAUCAGUCGCUCUCAUCUUUCAAUUCGAAAUUUCGAUUUCCGACUAGCCCCGGGUUCGAUUCCCGGCCGUGGAAGCU